UACGUAGGGAGCAAGCGUUGUCCGGAAUCAUUGGGCGUAAAGCGCGCGUAGGUGGCCUCAUAAGUCCGCUGUGAAAGUCAAAGGCUCAACCUUUGAAAGCCGGUGGAUACUGUGGGGCUAGAGUACGGAAGAGGCGAGUGGAAUUCCUGGUGUAGCGGUGGAAUGUGCAGAUAUCAGGAGGAACACCAAUAGCGAAGGCAGCUCGCUGGGACGUUACUGACACUGAGGCGCGAAAGCGUGGGGAGCGAACAGG
rnacentral:rRNA from 1 species